CCUACGGGAGGCAGCAGUAGGGAAUUGUUCGCAAUGGGCGCAAGCCUGACGACGCAACGCCGCGUGGAGGAUGAAGACCUUCGGGUCGUAAACUCCUUUCGACCAAGAUGAACACCUUUCGACCUAAUACGUUGAGAGGCUGACAGUAUUGAGGGAAGAAGCCCCGGCUAACUCCGUGCCAGCAGCCGCGGUAAUACGGGGGGGGCAAGCGUUGUUCGGAAUUACUGGGCGUAAAGGGUUCGUAGGUGGCCAACUAAGUCAGACGUGAAAUCCCUCAGCUUAACUGGGGAACUGCGUCUGAUACUGGUCGGCUUGAGUGCAGGAGAGGAACGCGGAAUUCCAGGUGUAGCGGUGAAAUGCGUAGAUAUCUGGAGGAACACCGGUGGCGAAGGCGGCGUUCUGGACUGCAACUGACACUGAGGAACGAAAGCCAGGGGAGCAAACGGGAUUAGAUACCCCAGUAGUC
rnacentral:rRNA from 1 species